rnacentral:rRNA from 1 species
GAUGAACGCUAGCGGCAGGCUUAAUACAUGCAAGUCGAGGGGCAGCGCAGUGUAGCAAUACAUGGGCGGCGACCGGCAAACGGGUGCGGAACACGUACACAACCUUCCUACAAGUGGGGAAUAGCCCAGAGAAAUUUGGAUUAAUACCCCGUAACAUAGCGAUGUGGCAUCACAUUGCUAUUAUAGCUUCGGCGCUUGUUGAUGGGUGUGCGGCUGAUUAGAUAGUUGGCGGGGUAACGGCCCACCAAGUCUACGAUCAGUAGCUGAUGUGAGAGGAUAAUCAGCCACACGGGCACUGAGACACGGGCCCGACUCCUACGGGAGGCAGCAGUAAGGAAUAUUGGACAAUGGACGCAAGUCUGAUCCAGCCAUGCCGCGUGAAGGAUUAAGGUCCUCUGGAUUGUAAACUUCUUUUAUAAGGGACGAAAAAAGGUCUUUCUAGAUCGUCUGACGGUACCUUAUGAAUAAGCACCGGCUAACUCCGUGCCAGCAGCCGCGGUAAAAC